UUUAUUGGAGAGUUUGAUCCUGGCUCAGGAUGAACGCUGGCGGCGUGCCUAAUACAUGCAAGUCGAGCGAAUGGAUUAAGAGCUUGCUCUUAUGAAGUUAGCGGCGGACGGGUGAGUAACACGUGGGUAACCUGCCCAUAAGACUGGGAUAACUCCGUGAAAC
rnacentral:rRNA from 1 species